rnacentral:rRNA from 1 species
UACGAAGGGGGCUAGCGUUGUUCGGAAUUACUGGGCGUAAAGGGCGCGUAGGCGGUGUGUCAAGUCAGGCGUGAAAGCCCCGGGCUCAACCUGGGAACUGCAUUUGUGACUGCACGGCUGGAGUGCGGCAGAGGGGGAUGGAAUUCCGCGUGUAGCAGUGAAAUGCGUAGAUAUGCGGAGGAACACCGAUGGCGAAGGCAAUCCCCUGGGCCUGCACUGACGCUCAUGCACGAAAGCGUGGGGAGCAAACAGG